rnacentral:misc_RNA from 1 species
GAUGAAGAACGUAGCGAAAUGCGAUAAGUAAUGUGAAUUGCAGAAUUCAGUGAAUCAUCGAAUCUUUGAACGCACAUUGCGCCCGCCAGUAGUCUGGCGGGCAUGCCUGUUCGAGCGUCAUUACAACCCUCAGGCCCCCGGGCCUGGCGUUGGGGAUCGGCGGAGCCCCCCGUGGGCACACGCCGUCCCCCAAAUACAGUGGCGGUCCCGCCGCAGCUUCCAUCGCGUAGUAGCUAACACCUCGCUACUGGAGAGCGGCGCGGCCACGCCGUAAAACACCCAACUCUUCUGAAGUUGACCUCGAAUCAGGUAGGAAUACCCGCUGAACUUAAGCAUAUCAAUAACGGAGGA